ensembl:lncRNA
UGGGGGGUCCUGGGGGCGUCAUUGGGGGUCUUGGGGGGAUUUUGGGGGGUCCUGGGAGGGUCUGAGGGGAUUUUGGGGGGUCCUGGGGUUUUUUAGGGGAUUUUGGGGGGUCCUGGGGGGGUCUUUGUGUUGACCGCCCCCCCCAAUUUCAGGACAUCAACAAGCGGCUGUCGCUGCCGGCCGACAUUCGGCUCCCCGAGGGCUGCCUGGAGCGCCUGGUGCUGCCAUCGCCGCUCAGCCGCCGCCUGCGCCGCGUCUCGCUGUCGGAGAUCGGCUUCGGCAAACUGGAGACGUACGUCAAACUGGACAAACUGGGAGAGGUGAGCCGAGCCGUGAGCUCACAAGUGGAGUCACCAUUGGGUCACUAUUGGGUCACCAUUGGGUCACCAUUGGGUCACCAUUGGGUCAUUGGGCCACUUUGGUUCACCAUUGGGUCACCAUUGGGUCAUUGGGGCACCAUUGGGUCACCAUUGGGUCGUUGGGUCACCAUUGGUUCACUACUGGGUCAUUGGGUCACCAGUGAGUCACUAUUGAGUCACUAUUGGGUCAUUGGGUCACUUUGAGGUACUAUUGGUUCACCAUUGGUUCACCAUUGGGUCACUAUUGGGUCACCAUUGGGUCACCAUUGGGUCACUAUUGGGUCACCAUUGGGUCGUUGGGUCACCAUUGGUUCACUACUGGGUCAUUGGGUCAGCAUUGAGUCACUAUUGAGUCACUAUUGGGUCAUUGGGUCACUUUGAGGCACUGUUGGUUCACCAUUGGUUCACUAUUGGGGCAUUGGGGCACCAUUGGGUCACCAUUGGGUCAUUGGAGCACUUUGGGGCACUAUUGGGUUAUUGGGUCACUUUGGGGCACCAUUGGUUCACCAUUGGGUCAUUGGGUCACUAUUGGGUGGUUGGGUCACCAUUGGAUCACCAUUGGGUCACUAUUGGGUCAUUGGGGCACCAUUGGGUCACUAUUGGGUCACCAUUGUGUCUCUUUGGGUCACUAUUGGGUCAUUGGGUCACCAUUGUGUCUCUUUGGGUCACUAUCGGGUCACUAUUGGAUCUUUGGGUCACUAUUGGGUCACUAUUGUGUCUCUUUGGGUCACUAUCAGGUCACUAUUGGGUCACUGGGUCACCAUUGGGUCACCAUUGGGUCACCAUUGGGUCACCACUGUGUCACUUUGGGUCACCAUUGGCUCACUGUCGGGUGACUGGGUCACCAUUGGGUCACUACUGGGUCACCAUUGUGUCUCUUCGGGUCACUAUUGGGUCACUUUGUGUCACCAUUGUGUUACUACUGGGUCAUUGGGUCACUAUUGGGUCACCAUUGUGUCACUUUGGGUCACUACUGGGUCACUACUGGCUCAUUGGGUCACUAUUGGGUCACCAUUGGGUCACUAUUGGAUCUUUGGGUCACUACUGGGUCACCAUUGUGCCUCUUCGGGUCACUAUUGCGUCACCAUUGUGUCACCAUGUGGUCAUUGGGUCACCAUUGUGUCUCUUAUGCUCACUAUUGGGUCACUAUUGGGUCACUAUUAGGUCACUACUGGGUCUCCAUUGUGUCACUUUGGGUCACUAUUGGGUCACUAUUGGGUCACUGGGUCACCAUUGGGUCACCAUUGUGUCACCAUUUGGUCAUUGUGUCACCAUUGGGUCACCAUUGUGUCCCUGUGGAUCACUAUUGGGUCACUAUUGGGUCACUGGGUCACCAUUGGGUCACCACUGGGUCACUGUUGUGUCUCUUUGGGUCACUAUUGGGUCACUAUUGGGUCACUGGGUCUCCAUUUUGUCUCUUUCGGUCACCAUUGGGUCACCAUUUGGUCAUUGGGUCACUAUUGGGUCACCAUUGUGUCCCUUAGGAUCACUAUUGUGUCACUCUUGGGUCACUGGGUCACCAUUGGGUCACCAUUGUGUCUCUUAGGGUCACUAUCGGGUCACUAUUGAGUCACCUUGGGUCACUAUUAGGUCACUAUUGGGUCUCCAUUGUGUCACUUUGGGUCACUAUUGGGUCACCAUUGUGUCUCUUUGGGUCACCAUUGGGUCACCAUUGUGUCCCUUAGGAUCACUAUUGGGUCACUAUUGGGUCACUGGGUCACCAUUGGGUCACCACUGGGUCACUAUUGUGUCUCUUUGGGUCUCUUUGGGUCACUAUUGGGUCACUAUUAGGUCACUGGGUCACCAUUGGGUCACCCUUGAGUCUCUUUGGGUCACUAUCGGGUCACUCUUGGGUCACCUUGGGUCACUAUUAGGUCACUUUUGGGUCUCCAUUGUGUCACUAUUGGGUCACUAUUGGGUCACUAUUGGGUCACUGGGUCACCAUUGGGUCACCAUUGUGUCUCUUUGGGUCACUAUUGGGUCACCUUGGGUCACUAUUAGGUCACUUUUGGGUCUCCAUUGUGUCACUAUUGGGUCACUAUUGGGUCACUGGGUCUCCAUUGGGUCACCAUUGGGUCACCAUUGUGUCACUUUGGGUCACUAUCGGGUCACUAUUGGGUCACUAUUAGGUCACUACUGGGUCUCCAUUGUAUCACUUUGGGUCACUAUUGGGUCACUGGGUCACCAUUGGGUCACCAUUGUGUCUCUUUGGGUCACUAUCGGGUCACUAUUGUGUCACCAUUGUGUCUCUUUGGGUCACUAUCGGGUCACCAUUGUGUCACCAUUGUGUCUCUUUGGGUCACUAUCGGGUCACUAUUGGGUCACUAUUAGGUCACUACUGGGUCUCCAUUGUGUUACUUUGGGUCACUAUUGGGUCACUAUUGGGUCACUGGGUCACCAUUUUGUCUCUUUG